AUCGAUGAUGACUUCCUUAUAUACAUUCCUUGGAAAGCUGAACAAAAUGAGUGAAAACUCUAUACCGUCAUCCUCGUCGAACUGAGGUCCAGCACAUUGCUCUUACAGGGGCUAGAGAGAGAGGGACAAAUUUCAUUUGAUGAUGCCCAUUGCACCAAGGGGUUCUGUCCAGGCUUAGGAUGGGGUCUCGUUUGGGCAAAGGAGAAUGGCAGGGGAGUGGAGGCUAUGUACACAGGAGAUUCCUUGUUUGAAGGACUCUAUUUGUGAGGCCAGGGUACCACACAUGCUGUCCGCAGGAGUAGGUGAAUGUGCAGUUGCCCAGGAAGAGUUAGCCUGUAGCCUGCCUCUGCAUGGCAGUUUGUCCUUGGGUCCUGGCUCUGGAUUUCCAUGUUCCUUGGAGGAGGAUAGGUGAUUUUGCUUGAGAAGACAGCACAGUACCAUACUUUUGUUGUUUUUCUGCUCAUUUCAUCGUCCAUUGAGGACAAUGAAGUUGUGGUCAGCAGGCAUAGCUUUCAGGCCAGCGUGCCCAUGUUGUGUCCCAUGCAUUGUGAGCACAUGCAUGUGGCAUGAACACAUAGGCUGCCACUCCAAGCUGAGUCUGAUAGGCAAUGAGACUCUGGCUUAUCCUGAUCCCGGUGUAGAUCAAAGUCUUCCCAGUAGGAUUGCAUGGCCCCGAGGCUAUUGUGAGCUGCAUUGCAGGUGUGGAAGCAAGGGUGUUGAGAGGGAUGCUCAACAUUAGUGCUCUUUAGCGAGAUGAUGCACUAUAAGGGCACCCUGAACCCAGACGUGCAUCCCUAUGUACGUGCAUUUCUGUGUCCAUAAAUAGUUGAAGCCAGACAGCCAGAUUCCAGAUGUAUCGCAGGGGGCUGGAUGACAUGGCCCUUGUCACCUGUGUACCUGUCUGCCUUUCUGAAGCACGCUUGUGUUUCCUCUACACCUCCCAGGUAGCAUUGGCAUGGAAGGCAGGCCCAUGUUGGUGAGGGACAAUUGUUAUCUUGUGUGAGCCGCAGGGAUACCAGGAAACCCCUGGACACAAAUGGCAAAGGCUUCUUUGGAAGUUGUUGGAUCCCUUCUGCAUGUAAGCAGUUCUUUCCCAGAGCGCUCUGAUUUUCCUCAUUUGCAGGGACAAACACUGUGCGUGGAUCGAUGAUGACUUCCAUAUAUACAUUCCUUGGAAAGCUGAACAAAAUGAGUGAAAACUCUAUACCGUCAUCCUCGUCGAACUGAGGUGGUGUUGGCAUGAAAGGCAGGCUUGUAUCAUGAGGAAUGAUUGUCAUCUUGUCUGAUUCUUGGAGAUGGCAGGAAGCCCCUGGAAACACAUGGUGUGGACUCUUUCACAGGCUGUUGAAACCCUCCUGAAUGUGAGGCCAGAGACAGGCAGACAGCAGAUGUAUUGCAGGGAGCUGGAUGACAUGGCCCUUGGAACCUGUGCACAUGCCUGCCUUUCUGAUGCACGUCCAUGUUUUCUCUGCACCUCCCCGGUGGUGUUGGUAUAAAAAGCAGGCUUACAUCAGCAAGGGAUGAUUGUCGUCUCAUGCGAUCCUGGGAGAUGGCAGAAGUCCCGGGACACAUGGAGUGUGGGCUCUUUCGGAGGCUGUUGGAUCCCUCCUGAAUGUGUUGUGGCCAUGGAAGUAAGGCCAGUGGCUACGAGGGACAGUCUUCAUCUUGGGAGAUCCCUAGAGAGGGCAGGGAGCCCCUUGACAUGUGGAAUGUGAUCUCUGUUGGGUGCUGGUGGAUCCCACAGGUGGUCUGGCAUGGAAGAAGGCCAGAGGCUGCGAUGGAUCAUCUUUGUCUUGGGAGAUUCCUGGAGAUGGUGGGGAGCCCCUGGGCACGUGCAGCAUAUGUGGCGUGGGCUUCUUCAGGUGCUGGUGGAUCCCUCAGGAUGGUAAAUGUCCAUUUUCCAAAAUCUUCUGAUAUUCCAUCUUUGUAGGUACAAAGACUGUGCAUGGAUCGAUGAUGACUUUUAUACAUGCAUUCCUUGGAAAGCUGAACAAAAUGAGUGAAAACUCUAUACCGUCAUCUUCGUUGAACUGAGGUCCAGCACAUUGCUCCAACAGUGGGUAGAUAGAGAGGGAAAACUUCCAUUUGUUGACGCAGGUUCCAUUGAGGGGUUUGUCCAGGCUUAGGAUGGGGUCCCCUUUGGGCAAAGGGAGUCACAGGGGAGUGCGGCCUCCUGUGCACAGGAGAUUCCUUGUGUGAAGGAUUUACCUCUGUGAGAGCAGGGUAGCACACAUAACUAUGCAGGAGCAGGUGAAUGUGCAGGUGGCACAGGAAGAGUUAGAUGGCAGCCUGUCUCUGCACAGCGAGGUUUGACUUGUCCUAGCUCUGCAUUCCCUCAUCCCUUAGAGGAAGUUGGUUUCUUCAGAAGACUUAAAUUUGUGGAAUUCAGUAGAAUAUUAUCCACAUAAUGUUCCCAGUGAAUGCUAGGCAUAUCACCCAAGAUGGCCAGGCCUCUGGCCAUAAACCAUAGUAAAUAGUAGGGUGUGCAUAUAUCCAUUAGGGAGAACCUGAAAGG
rnacentral:lncRNA from 1 species